UACGAAGGUGGCGAAUGUUGCUCGGAUUCACUGGGCGUAAAGCGUCUGUAGGUGGCUUGUUAAGUUAGAGGUGAAAGCCCCGCGCUCAACGUGGGAACUGCCUUUAAAACUGGCGAGCUUGAGAGUAUCAGAGGAAGGCGGAAUUACUGGUGUAGAGGUAAAAUUCAUAGAUAUCAGUAGGAACAUCCAUGGCGAAGGCAGCUUUCUGGGAAUACAUCUGACACUGAGAGACGACAGCGUGGGGAGCAAACAGG
rnacentral:rRNA from 1 species